GGUGGGGGAAAAUGAAGAAACUGCAAAGGCAACAGUAUACACAGCACAGCCCGUUAGGUCUUCCAUUGCUAUGAGAAAGGCUAUGCGGAACUGAGUGCUGUUCUGGCAUCUUGCCUGCUUCCUGCCUGAGUGCCCCCACUGCAGGAUGAGAGAUUUGCUUUGUGACGUUCCAUGGAGGGUACUGAGCUGCCACUUCUACUUGCUUAGAGACAACUUCUUGCACAGAACGGGAGGAGAUGCACGGUGUUCCAUCUUCAAAGAGGGCUUUACGCUACGCUGUUACUGUGUAUUCCAGUAAUGUUCUAUGGAUUUUCAAUUCACUCUGUCACAUCACCUUUGUGGUGUGACUGCGAUGCUGAAAUUCCAGGUUGUGGAGGAACACGGGCAGUACAUGUGCUGUGUGACACAACCCAUCGCCGUAGGCCUCGCGGCCUGUGUGUGUGUCUGCACUGCGUGGGUUCCAAGGCAGCAGCCCUCCCCGGAGCAAGGAGCCCUGAGCAGCACAGCAUGGGCAGCCCAGGUGACAAUUCCUCUUCACUCAGGACAGCCCAGGCAAGCCCAGAGGUUGGACACCCACAGUGCACCAAGUAAUGAGCAGGGUAGCAGUUGGAUAACUCACAUGGCUGCAGUGUGUGUCACAUCCUCCUAUCAUGGACUGCUAUCUGUCCUGUAUAGCAGGAGCAAAGAGAGGCCUCGAGAUCUCCAAGAUCCAUGUUAUAAUGGAAAUACACCAGCAGCACUACACAAUGAAGGCCAAGUUUCAAUUGGUGUGGAUGCAAACUCUGGUUCUGCUCACCUGUGUGAGGUUUUCCCCUCCGCUCCUUCCCACGAGGAUUACCAUGGAGGGAAGCUCCCAGCGUAGGCAUGACUGACACAAACCUGCUGCUGCCAGUAAGAGUCAUGUUUAGCAUGUAGGACAUCGCCUGAAGUUUAUCUGUGUGGGCCUGUAAAAAUAGCCAUCAGAUAGAUGGCUUUUUCCAGAUUAAAUGCUCAUAUC
rnacentral:lncRNA from 7 species